rnacentral:rRNA from 1 species
UACGUAGGGUGCAAGCGUUGUCCGGAUUUAUUGGGCGUAAAGAGCUCGUAGGCGGUUUGUCGCGUCGACUGUGAAAGCCCGGGGCUCAACUCCGGGUCUGCAGUCGAUACGGGCAGACUAGAGUUCGGUAGGGGAGACUGGAAUUCCUGGUGUAGCGGUGAAAUGCGCAGAUAUCAGGAGGAACACCGGUGGCGAAGGCGGGUCUCUGGGCCGAUACUGACGCUGAGGAGCGAAAGCGUGGGGGAGCAAACAGG